UACGUAGGGUGCAAGCGUUAAUCGGAAUUACUGGGUGUAAAGCGUGCGCAGGCGGUUUUGUAAGUCAGAUGUGAAAUCCCCGGGCUUAACCUGGGAACUGCGUUUGAAACUACAAGGCUAGAGUGUGACAGAGGGGGGUGGAAUUCCACGUGUAGCAGUGAAAUGCGUAGAGAUGUGGAGGAACACCGAUGGCGAAGGCAGCCCCCUGGGUUAACACUGACGCUCAGGCACGAAAGCGUGGGGAGCAAACAGG
rnacentral:rRNA from 1 species